rnacentral:rRNA from 1 species
GACGAACGCUGGCGGCGUGCCUAAUACAUGCAAGUAGAGCGCAGUUGCGAACGGGUGAGUAACGCGUAGGUAACUGCCUCAUAGCGGGGGAUAACUAUUGGAAACGAUAGCUAAUACCGCAUACUGUGAGCUGGACGUGCGUUGUAUUAGCUUGUUGGUGAGGUAAAGGCUCACCACGGCGACGUUACAUAGCCGACUUGGGAGGGUGAUCGGCCAAACUGGGACUUGUACACCGGCCCGACCUCUACGGGAGGGAGCCGUAGGGGAUCUUCGGCAAUGGACGGAAGUCUUACCGAGCAACGCCGCGUUGGUGAAGAAGGUCUUCGGGUCGUAAAGCUCUGUUGUGUGGGAAGCGUUACCUAACGAGAAAGGGACGGCUAACUACGUGCCAGCAGCCGCGGUAAUUC